rnacentral:rRNA from 1 species
UACGUAGGGGGCAAGCGUUGUCCGGAAUCAUUGGGCGUAAAGCGCGUGUAGGCGGUCCGGUAAGUCCGCUGUGAAAGUCGGGGGCUCAACCCUCGGAUGCCGGUGGAUACUGUCGGGCUUGAGUACGGAAGAGGCGAGUGGAAUUCCUGGUGUAGCGGUGAAAUGCGCAGAUAUCAGGAGGAACACCAAUUGCGAAGGCAGCUCGCUGGGACGUUACUGACGCUGAGGAGCGAAAGCGUGGGGAGCAAACAGG